UUGCGCAAUGGGCGAAAGCCUGACGCAGCGACGCCGCGUGGGGGAUGAAGGUCUUCGGAUUGUAAACCCCUUUCGGGAGGGAAGAUGGAAUGGGGUAACCCAUUCGGACGGUACCUCCAGAAGCAGCCACGGCUAACUUCGUGCCAGCAGCCGCGGUAAUACGAAGGUGGCAAGCGUUGUUCGGAUUUACUGGGCGUACAGGGAGCGUAGGCGGUUCGGUAAGCCCUCUGUGAAAUCUCCAGGCUUAACCUGGAACAGUCGGAGGGGACUGCUGGGCUAGAGGACGGGAGAGGAGCGCGGAAUUCCCGGUGUAGCGGUGAAAUGCGUAGAGAUCGGGAGGAAGGCCGGUGGCGAAGGCGGCGCUCUGGAACGUUUCUGACGCUGAGGCUCGAAAGCGUGGGGAGCAAACAGGAUUAGAUACCCUAGUAGUCCACGCCUUAAACUAUGAAUACUAAGUGUCGGCGGGUUACCGCCGGUGCCGCAGCUAACGCAUUAAGUAUUCCGCCUAGGAAGUACGGCCGCAAGGUUG
rnacentral:rRNA from 1 species